rnacentral:lncRNA from 1 species
AAAUGAUCAAACACUACAUCUCUUUUUUCCCAACUAUCAUUGCAACAUGCAGCACAAGGGCACAAAAUCUCAUCUCCUUCAACAAUUCCUUUGGUGAAUGCAAUAUCUAAAAAGUAGUNNNNNNNNNNNNNNNNNNNNNNNNAAAUAAACAUAAGGUUGUAUCAGUAUAGUAUAUCAACACAAACUAGAACCUGUACAACACCAAAUUCACACACAACAACAAAAGCCUCAUCUUAGCCAAAAUAAGACACAACAAGAGCAGAACAAACACCACAUGAAACCAGAACCGAUAAGCAACUUAAGUCAUUCAACAUAAAUCACCUCAUGUUUUUCCUAAUAGUCAAAAUAAUUGAGGAUAUAUAUUUUCUCUGAUUUACCUAUCCUUUUCCACUUCAUUGGUUAUAAAAAAGAAUUCUAACUUCAUUUUUUAUUUUGUAUAGAGAAGCUGAAGCAAAAUAAUAUCAAAAUCAAAAUAUAAGACAAAUAAGAGGAAGUGGGUAGAGCGCAAAAAACUAACCCUUGAAGAUAGAACUUGAAGGUAGAAGAGUCGCAAGUCCGUCUACGACCGUUUCCGACGGAUUCCAUGAAAAAAAAUAAUAAAUAAAAACAUGAAAAAAAUACUAACUUUAACCAAAUAAUAAAGAUAACAUAACAAUGGAUGUUACUUUCACUCACAAAUUGAGCCAAAUGAUGAAUGUUGUUGCAGAUCUAGAAGUUCCAGAUUCAAGUUCAACACAAAACGGAGUAGACACGAGAAGAAGAUUGUGGAAUUUGAGGUGAGCUAGCGUUAUAGUGCAGAUUUCUCCAAUGGUUUCAGCCACUGUCACAAUGGAUGGAGAUGGUUCAUCUCAUCACUGUUGGCGCAGCAGUUCUUAACAAUCACNNN